GAGGAGCAGAAGAAAACAAAGGGUGGGAGAAAACUGGGACAAAUUACUUUUUCUUGGUCAGUCUUCAAGUGUCGACCAAACUCCUUGAGGCCAAAGCAGUGGAGUCCUGCUCCCCGCCCCUCCCCCACCUCCGCACCCCUCCUGAGAGGCCCCACGUGACACAGAACUUUACUGGCCUCUUGAAAAUGACAUCACAAGACCUUAAGAAGAGCUAAACGGGCUGCCACCUGUAGCUGAAGAGUGCCUUAACGCCGAGGCCCACGGCUCCAUGCGAGAGAUGCCUGUUCCUUCUCUGAUAAAUUUGGCAGCUUCACGUACCCUAAGGCCCAGAAAGGACCUGUUUCCUCAACACCCUGACCAGCACAGAACAUUGUAAUAAUGACAAUUAUCAGUCAUUUAGCUCCAACUAAGCCCCAGAUAUUGUCAUAAAUUCUUUACAUAUAUUGAGUCAUAGAAUAAUCUCAAUAAUAUAUAAGGAUGUUCAUAUAAUCCACAUUUUACAGAAAAGAAAAUUGGAGUUGUGACCGAUUAAUCACAUAAUCACAGUCGUCUAAAUCACAUAGAUUGUAGAUGGAGGAAUAAGAAUGUCAGUGCCUGUGAUUGAAUGAAAAAUGCCCCAAAAGAUAUCCAUGCUCUAAUUCUUGGAAUCUCUGAAUAUUACCUUACUUUGCACAGACCCCCAAAAGGGGGGUCUUCGGAGAAAAAGUUAAAGAUGAAGAAAUUAUCCUGGAUUAUCCAAGUGGAGCUCAAAUACCAUCACAAGUGCCUUUAAUAGGGAGAGGCACAGGGAGAUUAUACAGUUACAGAAGAGAAGAAGACAAUGUGACCACACGGACACAGAUAGAAGCAAUGCCACCACCAGCCAAGGAAUGCGAGCAGCCACCAGAGGCUGGGAAAAGAAGAAAGUAGAUGAUCAGCUCACUAGCCACAUCAAAGGUGCCAAUUCUCUAAAGGGUAGACUCUGUGCAGCUUUGAAGCCUGGAAGACAAUACCUACCAACAUGUCAAAGCCACAGUGGAGCAUUUCUGCUAUGAUGAAGAUUAAAUAGAAGAAUAACAGUUCCAGGAUAACAUUGAUUCCUGACAACAGCGUGAGAUUUCAACAGAACUUGUUUGGAACAAAUACUCACUUAAAACUUCAGCAGAAGAAAAAUUACUUAGUCCUUAGGCCAACAAAUUUAACUGCAGUGUCAUAUGUUUCACAGGCCUUCCUACAUUUAGAAAUCGUCACACAGCUGUGAUAAGAGUAGAUUAUUUUACUACAAAAUAAUUGGAACAGAUGAAAACAUAAAAUGUGAG
rnacentral:lncRNA from 10 species